CGCCGGAGACAGCAGAGUGCAUGCCAAUGGUAGGAAUAUGAGGAACUUGAAGAAAAAUAAUAGGCAGAUCAGGAGACUUUUAUAAGCAUUGGAAAGAUUAUAAAGAUGAAUAAGAUACAUCAUACAAAAAGUACAAACAAUUGGAAAACAUUAAAAGACUGGCAGUAAAAAUGAACAAUGUGAUGAGGCUACCUGAAAGCAUAUCUUGGUCAUUAAAAAGAGACAUCAAACCUUGGCAGAGUUGUAGGGAAUCGUGUGUCUUCCAAUAUUGUUGGGAGGGAGGGGUGGAAAUUGGUAUUCGUUUUUUUUUUUUUUUAAAAAGUGUUUCUAUAUCUCUUAAAAUUAGAAAUGUGCCAUUUUGGUGGCCCAGCAAUGACACAUUAAAAUGAAAGGAAAAUCACAGAAGUAUACAAAGAGAUAAAUUCAGGAGGUUCACUGCAGUAUUUUUUAUAAUAAUGGAAACAAAUCAGACAAAAUUUAAAUGCCUCUU